ensembl:lncRNA
CGGGCCUCUCCGAGCUAGCUCGCUUGUCUUCCGGCUCAGCUGGGUCAGUACGGGAGACGAGGCGGCAGCGGACGAGGGUCCUCCGGGACCCCCGCCGGCAGCCGCCCCGGCCCCUCGUGCCCCCAGCCCACAACUUACAGCUGACACCUCGAGGCCGUGGCGCAGAGCUAACUGCUGCGCCCCCCAAAUCCGACGGCGUUGCAGGCUGGAGCGGACUGGCCCCGACGGGAAGACGCGCCCAGGGACCCAGCGCCCACCGAGUCCCUGCUCCGACCCACGAGGGAAGGUCUCCUGCGCCUCACCUCGGGUUGAGGAUGGAGUCCAGGGAACUUGGUGGCGUCCUGGUGUCGUUUUUGGCGUCCGAGGUGAAGCGCGAUGCUGUUGUCCGCACGUGACAGCCUCCGGCAAGAUGGCAUUAGCGGAGGAACGGACAGAGCGACAACUGGAUGCCAGAUCGGCGCGUGUCGCCGCGGGAGAGGGCUGCGUCCGUCCGCCAGGCCCACGUCGAGGACCUUCCCGAAGGAAGAGGCGCCCCCACAGCAAGAAGGAGGUCUGGGGUGCCAAAUGCGGCUCAAGUCACUUCCCAAUGAUCUCAGCCACUGCGCUGGGAAAUAUUACCCUACUUCACAGACAGUGUUGCUCAAAGUCACGCCACUGGCUAGAUUUGAAUCUAGAUUUUUUUUUUUUCAAUGCCACUGAAGAGACAAUAUGACAACAGGAAGAAACGCAAAAGUAGCAAAGUAGUAUCCAUAAUACUACAAAAUGCAACUUUUCAAACAUGAAACCUUCCGCCUAUAUGCAAGUCUUUACAUAGUUGCAACCACACAUCCUCUUUUGUGUUUGCUACCAUCACUGACAUUUUUUUUAACAUUUUUGUUUUGUUCACAUUCAUUUUUCAUGUGUGCAGUUACCGUCAUCCAUUCACUCUGUCUCCUAGUAUUGCCUAUUUUGGUCCCUGAUUAUUGUUUGCUAAUGUAUCUCUUAGUUCAGCACUUAGACAAACUCCUGGCAAUUGAAUAACCAGGUGGAAGGUUAAGGAACAGCAGGAUUAUCUUAGCCCACAGUGCCACAGAGCUUUCCAAACAGCAGCCCCACUCAUUCUGCACCUGCCAAGAACAAGUAUAAAGAGUUCAAUACACAUUUCUAAGUAUUGGAUGCCAUCUUUGCUCCUCUAUUUUAGCAGUGUCUACUGGUAGUUCAAGGUUACUUCAGUAUUUCUUAGGUGACUUUAAAAUGUUUUCCCAUGCAUUUACUACCUAAAUUUCCCUUUCUGUAAAUGAUCUGUUCACACCCAUUUGUCUUUUGGGGACUCGAACCUCUUCUAAUUUUGAAUAAGAAUUUUUUAUGUUGCAGAUACUACUCUAUCAUCAGUGAUUCAAAUAUUUCCCAGUCCAUUGUUCUUUUUUGUUUUAUUCAAUCUGCCAUUCUGGUCCUUUUUUAUUUUAUUUUUUCAAUUGCUUCAGUGCUGACAAAGUGAGCUUUCUUCCAUUCAUCUGAUAGUCUGCAUUCUGCUAGUUUUCUAAAAUUUUAUUUUUAAUUCUUUGGUGGUUAUCCAUGGCAAGUUUAUUUUGCUGUGUGGGAGUAAAAUACGGAUUUUAAGUAACCACCAUCAUCACCAGUUCUUCACGCAAUCACCAUUUAUUAAAUAAUUCUUACCUUAUCCUUUGCCUAGUAAAAUCUACGUUAAUGCUACGCAUUUGAUUUUGGUUGGUCUAUUUCUGAAUUCUCCAUUUCUUUUCACAGACUUUGGUUUAAGGAAAUACCAUGUGGAGUUAAAUACUGGCUCUUUAAAAUACGUUCUCACAUCUGGCAGGGCUAGAAUCCCCCCUCAUAGGGUCUUCUUUCAUUCAGACUUAUCACUUGAUAUACAGAAUAGUAUAAAUCCAUACACAUUCUAGGAUCAUCAUACAGGAAUUAAGAGUGCUCACUUUGGAGAGAGGAUCAUCCAGCUUCAACACUCACCAGAACUGUGACCUUGGCAAGUUGCUUAUGAUUCCCAGGCCUUAGGGUCUUGGUCUAUAAAAUGGGAAUAAAAGUAACAUAAGCUAAAUGAUGCCUAGCACAUAGUGUGUGUGUGUGUGUGUGUGUAACAUAUAAUAUGUAUGUAUAUAUAACAUUCAUAUAUAUACUCAGUAAAUAUCAGCUGUUACUGAUAUUUGCAAAAAAUUGAGAUUUUGCAUAGGGUUACAUUAAACCUAUGAAUUCAUUUGAACAGAUCAAAUAUGUCUUAAUAUUUCAUUUUCCCAACCAGGACAUGUGCUAUCUUUCCAUUUAUCCAGAUAUUUUAAAACUGAGAAGUGAGUUUCCUCAUUGACUCCAGCCUCUCUCUGCUGCUCACCUUCAUGACCCCUGAAGAACAGGAAGAGCAGAGAGCCACAAGGAACAGCAUUUAGGAGUCUGACUUGGGACUUCCCUGGUGGUCUGGUAGUUAAGAGUCCUCCUGCCAAUGCAAGGGACACAAGUUCCAUCCCUGGCCCGGGAAAAGCGCACAUGCCACUGCAGCAGCUGAGCCCCCGCGCCACAAAUGCUGAGCCUUCCGCCACUAGAUAAAGUCCACAAGCAGCGACAAAGACCCAGGGCAGCCAAAAAUGAAUAAAUGAAAUUAAAAAAAAAAAAAAGCCUGGCUUGUGCAGGGCCCUGUGUAGGUGUGGGCAUGUGUGCACAUACAGGAAAUUUUUACUCCUUGCAACAUCCCCCAGCAUAGGUCGUG